rnacentral:piRNA from 1 species
UACUCUUGUCUAUUUCCCUAGAAAAUGAAGC